GCUAUGAGCAAGCUUCUUCAAAAUUUUACGACCUGUUCCUUUAACUAUAUCCAUAAUGUCAGAGCUAAGAUCUUUAUUUUCAGGUUUACAUUUCAGUUUCUUGUCCUUCGGGAUGAUUACUCGAGGUUUAUCGGAGUUGUCUGAAGCAGAUACUGGAGUUUGGUCCUUUGCAUUAAUUUGCUCAGUGCUUCCCUCAAUUUUAACUCUCUUCAAAUCAUAAGCAA
rnacentral:misc_RNA from 1 species